rnacentral:rRNA from 1 species
GACGAACGCUGGCGGCGUGCUUAACACAUGCAAGUCGAACGGUAAGGCCCUUCGGGGUACACGAGUGGCGAACGGGUGAGUAACACGUGGGUGAUCUGCCCUGCACUUCGGGAUAAGCCUGGGAAACUGGGUCUAAUACCGGAUAGGACCACUGCCUGCAUGGGUGGUGGUGGAAAGCUUUUGCGGUGUGGGAUGGGCCCGCGGCCUAUCAGCUUGUUGGUGGGGUGAUGGCCCACCAAGGCGACGACGGGUAGCCGGACUGAGAGGGUGACCGGCCACACUGGGACUGAGGUACGGCCCAGACUCCUACGGGAGGCAGCAGUGGGGAAUAGUGCACUAUGGGCGCAAGCCUGAUGCAGCGACGCCGCGUGAGGGAUGACGGCCUUCGGGUUGUAAACCUCUUUCAGCACCGACGAAGCGCAAGUGACGGUAGGUGCAGAAGAAGGACCGGCCAACUACGUGCCAGCCGCCGCAGUAA